rnacentral:rRNA from 1 species
UACGUAGGGCGCAAGCGUUGUCCGGAAUUAUUGGGCGUAAAGAGCUCGUAGGCGGCCUGUUGCGUCCGCUGUGAAAUCCCGGGGCUUAACCCCGGGCGUGCAGUGGAUACGGGCUGGCUGGAGGCAGGCAGGGGAGAACGGAAUUCCUGGUGUAGCGGUGAAAUGCGCAGAUAUCAGGAGGAACACCGGUGGCGAAGGCGGUUCUCUGGGCCUGUUCUGACGCUGAGGAGCGAAAGCGUGGGGAGCGAACAGG